GGAUUAAGAGCUUGCUCUUAUGAAGUUAGCGGCGGACGGGUGAGUAACACGUGGGUAACCUGCCCAUAAGACUGGGAUAACUCCGGGAAACCGGGGCUAAUACCGGAUAACAUUUUGAACCGCAUGGUUCGAAAUUGAAAGGCGGCUUCGGCUGUCACUUAUGGAUGGACCCGCGUCGCAUAAGCUAGUUGGUGAGGUAACGGCUCACCAAGGCAACGAUGCGUAGCCGACCUGAGAGGGUGAUCGGCCACACUGGGACUGAGACACGGCCCAGACUCCUACGGGAGGCAGCAGUAGGGAAUCUUCCGCAAUGGACGAAAGUCUGACGGAGCAACGCCGCGUGAGUGAUGAAGGCUUUCGGGUCGUAAAACUCUGUUGUUAGGGAAGAACAAGUGCUAGUUGAAUAAGCUGGCACCUUGACGGUACCUAACCAGAAAGCCACGGCUAACUACGUGCCAGCAGCCGCGGUAAUACGUAGGUGGCAAGCGUUAUCCGGAAUUAUUGGGCGUAAAGCGCGCGCAGGUGGUUUCUUAAGUCUGAUGUGAAAGCCCACGGCUCAACCGUGGAGGGUCAUUGGAAACUGGGAGACUUGAGUGCAGAAGAGGAAAGUGGAAUUCCAUGUGUAGCGGUGAAAUGCGUAGAGAUAUGGAGGAACACCAGUGGCGAAGGCGACUUUCUGGUCUGUAACUGACACUGAGGCGCGAAAGCGUGGGGGAGCAAACAGGAUUAGAUACCC
rnacentral:rRNA from 1 species